GGUUCGCGUAGGCUGUCGUCACCGCCCAAGUUUGUGGGAGUUUAGGCUGCAGUUUCCAUCCUUAGGAAGUUUCCGCGCCACGGAAGUGGAAGUCACAGGCAAAUCGAGCUGUGCGCGGCGGCCUGCCUUGAAGCUGGAGAGUAUUUUAAACACUACGGAGCGUUUUCCCUAACGGAUCAGGCACAUAUACUUGGAAGAAUAAUAAAUCUAAGAAGAAAUUUUAUAAUGAAAAAUUUACAAGAAAGAAAUUUACAAAAUGCCUGAGUCCUGGAAGAAAAGAUUCCAGAGAAAAAACUAAAUAUAAUGAGCAGGAAACAAACAAACAACCCAAACCAACCAACCAAUCAAUGAGAACCAACCAACCAACCAACCAAUGAGAACCAACCAAUGAGAACCAACCAAUGAGAACCAACCCCAAGGAACAGAGGAAGCACAUGAAGGAUGACAGGAACAUUUUUUACUUUUCUUUCUGCUAUUGAAGGCGAGGCAUUAAAGUUGAAGUGCUAUUAGCAUGGUUUCUAGAAUGUCCGGUUAAUGGAGUCCUGCUCCCUACCACACUGAUUUUAGGGAUGCAUUUGGUUUGCGCUCAGUUAGGUUUGAUGAUGCUAAGUGAGAACCUUGUUCAGGCCGAGUCGGAAGGCAUUAUCUCACUGAGUACACACCUCAUCGAGUUUCAUGACUCUGAUUUAUAUCGAUUGAUUUCCAGGUCUUGGUUUAUUUCUGUGUGUGGGUGUUUUGUCUCUAUGUGCAUCUGUGCACUAUGUGUGUAGCUGGUGCCCUCAGAGGCUAGACGAGGAGGUUGAAUCCCCUAGGACUGUAGUCUCAGACAGUUACGGGCUCCCAUGUGUGGCUGAGAAUUUAGCUCAGGUCCUCUGGAAGAACAGCCAGCUCUCCUAGUCACUGAGCCAUCUCUCCAGUCCU
ensembl:antisense AV099323 expressed sequence AV099323